GCCGGGCACGUAUGCCUAUAGUCCCAGCUACUCAGGAGGCUGAGGUGGGAGGAUCGCUUGAGCCCAGGAGUUCUGGGCUGCAGUGCACUCUGCCGAUCGGGUGUCCACACUGAGUUCGGCAUCAAUAUGGUGACCUCCCGGGAGCAGGGGACCACCAGGUUGCCUAAGGAGGGGUGAACAGGCCCAGGUCGGAAACAGAGCAGGUCAAAACUCCCGUGCUGAUCAGUAGUGGGAUCGUGCCUGUGAAUAGCCACUGCACUCCAGCCUGGGCAACAUAGUAUGACCUGGUCUCU
rnacentral:SRP_RNA from 1 species